rnacentral:rRNA from 1 species
AUUGAACGCUGGCGGCAGGCCUAACACAUGCAAGUCGAACGAGUGGCGGACGGGUGAGUAAUGUCUGGGAAACUGCCUGAUGGAGGGGGAUAACUACUGGAAACGGUAGAUAAUACCGCAUACCAUCGGAUGUGCCCAGAUGGGAUGAGCUAGUAGGUGGGGUAAAGGCUCCCCUAGGCGACGAGCCCUAGCUGGUCUGAGAGGAUGACCAGCCAACCUGGAACUGAGACACGGUCCAGACUCCUCCGGGAGGCAGCAGUGGGGAAUAUUGCAAAAUGGGCGCAAGCCGGAUGCAGACAUGCCGCGGGUAUGAAGAAGGCCUUCGGGUUGUAAAGUACUUUCAGCGGGGAGGCGUUACCCGCAGAAGAAGCACCGGCUAACUCCGUGCCAGCCGCCGCGGUAAUAC